rfam:Myotis brandtii contig299922, whole genome shotgun sequence.
GCCGGUUUGGCUCAGUGGAUGGAGCGUCGGCCUGGGAACUGAAGGGUCCCGGGUUCGAUCCCCGUAAAGGGCA